rnacentral:misc_RNA from 1 species
GGAAAAAUGAAAAUUGAAUAUGCACUAUGAACAGAUUUUAGUACCUAGCAGUGUGUACAACACAAUGCAACCAACAGGAUCUUGCUGAACAGAUCAGCUGCACAUCAUAUCCCACAAACAGCAAACUACAAAGAGAGACAGUUUAAUAGAAAAGGCUACGUUACAUCGGAAUUAAGGUUGAUUGUCUUGACUAUCUGUUUCACCCCUUGAACUCCGAUCAAUACUAUAUGUCCUCUUGCUCAUAUUUGCUCGUUGAACUAGCCGAACUAAGGCUUCAACAACUUCUGACAUAGGUGGCCGGAACUCAGGCUCAGACUGGACACAAAGAGCAAUUACAUCAGCAAAGCGCGAAAUAGAUUUAACAGGAUAGAGUCCUUUAAGUGCUGGAUCAACCAUCUUAGCCAAGGCAUCAAUAUCAUGGAGUUGAGGUGUUGCCCAUCUAACUAAAGAUUGUUCAGAUCUUGGUCUCUCACUAUCAAAAGGUGUUCGUCCGGUAAGAAGUUCCAACAUAACAACUCCAAAGCUGUAGACAUCACU